CCUUGUGAACUUGUAAAAACGUUAAAGACUAACGUAAAUAUUAAAUAAAUAGUGUAAAAUCUUCUUAAAACCUCAAUAAAAAUUAACGGCAAUUAGCUUUAAUUAUAUCACCUGCCCCAAAAAGAUACACAUGAUAUGCGGUUGAUAGAUACUCCCAUAUCUCCAGCCAUGAAUAUGUAAAAACCAGGUCGGUUGCCGCUUUGAUGACCAAGAAGUUUUUUAGCCAUUUGUUUGACAUUCAAUUAUGACGCGUUUAUCUAAACAAAUUCACGUGAGCUGGGCUUAAUAUCUGUUUAAUGUGCCCCCCUCCCCCCAGCCCACCUAAUUUCUUUUUUUUCCGAGACGUCUCGAAAUAAUGAGGCUGAUUUGAUUAUUUUAUACAUUUGGUGAUUAUUUGUUUUUCGGGGCUUUCCGUUGUUUUUGCUAUUUUUGCGGUUCGGCGGCGAGGAGAACAGAAUGUGACAUCAAGUCAUGCGGUUCGUUAGCUGAAUGCUGAAAUCAAACAAAGCCACAGGCAUGUUGCUUGUGCCUGGCAAAAUGUUGAUUUAAAUUGUUGUUCCCUGACAUCAACCCCCCUCCCCCCCUGAAGUUGGUCCAAACUUGCGUUAUUCAAUUCGCUAAUUUAUGGCUCACACAAAAACUGGCGGCAAAUAGCAGGUGACAGAUCUGUCCAAAAUGCGAGCACAUUGGAUUUGAAUUCGAUGGGCAGAUACCAAUGGAGAUGAGAUUUUAUACAUCUUAUUCAGUUCAAUAACUUUAUCAUUAAACAAUGUGCAACAUGUUGACUAUACUCACACGCUCUGAUUGGAGUACCAAAUAUAGACUUAAGUGGGCGGAAAGGGGCAAGAUGGUAGACGAUAUCAGAAAUGUUGGCAACGGAAAGAGACUAUUUGCAAUCACAACUGCAUAAUUGGCCAGCCACGCUCAGUGUUUUCAAUUUUCACCUCUAAUUAGCGCCGAUUCAACAAAAAGUGCUGCUAUUGAUAGGAGUGAUUUGCUGUGAUAAAAUUGUUUUGGACAAUAUUUAAGUUGGGACAGUCACCCCAGCAGCGAUUUUCAAUCUUUUAGAUCUCAAUCUAAAGCCAAGCCAUUGGUUUUGAUUAUUUAGUUUUUACUUAGUUUCUUUUUUUGGGGGGGCUCGGGUCUCUAAUUGACGCGUGUCUGGUAUCAAACAGACCCGAGUUGACAAACUUUUCGACACUUCAUCAUCAUCAUCAAUAUAUCAUGGGUAUAUUAUCGUCACGUGCUAUCAUGCGAACAAAUGGCGAACAAAGCGGCUUAAUUAGCAUUCGUGUGUCAUCUGUUGGGCUUUUAAGACAUAUAAACAAAUAUAUAUCUGGCUAUAAAACAGUAAGUGUUCAUCAUCAAUAGGCCAUCGUAUGUGCCAGAUAACAGGUCAUCCGUAGGGUGAACAACUCGUGUGAUUACCAAGUUAAGAUUCAGAUGUUAACUUACUAUGCAUUUCAAUUUUGUAUUAUUUUAAAUAAACUUUAGUUUUUAACUUCAUCGUUAUUAAAGCGUUUGCAAUUACACAAUCCCUUUGAUUUAAUAAUUUAGCUAAUUGCUUGCGAUAUCUUGAGUUUCGCUUUGAACCCUUGUUAGUCAUUUUUGCAUUCAACCUGGGCUUUCAACGAUUUUGCCGCUCUUUGACCUUGCCGUAGGUUGCACCCACCCCCAUUUGCGCGCCCACACCAAAAAAAAAGCAUUUUGCAUUGCCAUCGAAUGAACACAACGGCGAGGAACGAUUCUACGUGACAUGUUUGCCUGAUCGGAUUGGCCAGGGCAUAAGCAAAUUCGAAGCAGUUAGUUAGCUUGGGUCAGUUGGCCGGAGCGGUUGUGUUGGCCAGCUGGAGAUUCGGAUUGGGAGAACUGGUCAGGUGGCCGGAUUACUUAGCACGAGCGGUGCCAAGCCGUUUUUGGCCCAAAAGGUUUUCCCUCGCACGCUUCAAAACCCAUUGCACAAUGGUCAUAGCCAAAAAUUGGGGGAUGGGGAGGGGUUUGGGGCGCAAAAACAUUUACAUUUUACAACGAUUUCGAAAUUGGGCAGGUAACCAAUGGAUUGGGUGGAUGGGCUUGGUUGGAGAAGUAGUAUCCGUAUUAGUAGCAGCUACCUGUGACGUGAUUCACUUUCAAACCUGGUCAGACGACAAACGCAUUUCAGUGCUUCGUCUUUGGUUUUUCUUUUCUUUUUUUUUUUUUUUGUAAAUGGCACGGCUGUUAUCCCAUAGCCAUUGUGUUAAUCUAAUCGAUUGACGGAGUUGAGCGUUGUCUACGGAACUGCCCAGCAAUAGAUAAUCAGCAGAGAUAAUAAGGUACGCGCAUUCUUACACAAUUAAUCCCCAAAGCACUUGAGUGCGGGGAGUGUGUAAAUUUUGAGAACAAUUCACUUGAAUCAAAUUCAAAUGGAGGGAAUACACAGUCGGCUAUUUCCACGGAUUCUUAUCAAUCGGAGUCACAUGUGACCAAUGGCGAGGCAGAUAUGAUGAUAUUGGACACUUGGCUAAUCUCCGCUGGGCUUUUUCCGGCUGCGAUUAGCCAGUUGUAGGACUGUUAAUUGCUUUUAGCUGGGAUUCAUGGAAACAUGUUCUUCAAGGUGCAAAGUUUAUGUGUAUAAAAAUACUAAUAGCUAAUAUGGUUAAAUACACACAUUUUCAGCUAAGUUACUCCUUGUACUUAAGCAAUCGCCAGAAAUGACAUGGAAUAUUUUGAAGAAUAUCUAUUAAAUGUUUUCUUCUGAUAAAACCAAUGAUCACAAUGAUUCGUCGCACUCUUUAUUGGGCGCCAAUAAAAACAGAGUUUAUUACCAUGAAUAGGUUCCUGGGUGCUCAACUUCAGAUUGACGUCAAAGGAGACGUCCUCCAACUCUCACUUAGCUCCAGUCCAAUCGUUCAAUUGAUCAAUUAAAUGGUUUUUGCAGAGACAUUCGAAGAAGUUGAGGAAUAUUCUUUAAAUAGCGCUCGAUUGAAGUUAUCAAGUGCUAGAUGGCAUCGUUGGAAUCUUUUAUGGCCGACGGAUUUCGUUGGAGCUUUCAGAAAGUUAUCUACGGCCGUAUAUUUGCAUUAAUUUAUUGCAAAUAUAAAAGACUUUUGCGAUGAUUGAUCGCAGCAUGUUGAACAUUCAUAUAAUAUAAUAUAUUCGCGGCUUAUCUGACAAUCGACGGCGAUAGCAAAGGGCGCUAUGGCGAAAAAGAUUUAGCCAUAAAGAUCAAAUCGGACGAAAGGCUAAAUAAAAAUCCACCAAACACUCGAGUUGGUGGUCGCUCAUAAAAAUCGAAGGGGCUAGGUAUGGUAUUGAUAAGGGGGGCGGUCGGGUGGCGGUUAAACCCUUAUCAAUGCGCCGGACUACUUAAUUGGCUUGAUAUUGCCCUACUACCCCAACUACCGUGUGGCCAAGUGUGGAUUGUGAUUGAUUCCAUUCCGAAUGCUAAAUACGCAGACGGGAUCGGGUGCCCCUUUUAAAUUGGUUUCACGAUUGCGAUCGGAUCGCGAAAUAUGUGUGUGAUUACUCCACUUACGAGUGUUUCAUUAACAGACCCACUCCACUCGAUUCGAAUCUCAAUCAGCCAUGAAUGUUGUUUCUAUAUAAUCGGCUUCAGAUUCGAUUUCGAUUUCGCUUUCAAUUCAACCCCCUCUCCCCCUUCCCAGUUUGGAUUUCACUGGGUCUCAGGUGCUUUCCACUGGGGGUUUAUCUGCCUCAAUUGCGCGAAUUGUUUAUUAAAACAUUAUCAAUAUCUGUAAUCCACAGUCGGAUCCACUUCACGCUGUUCUACACUCGUUUCGUCUGGCUUUGGCCUUUGUCAUUAGUCCCAUUGACAACUGCUAAUUGUGAGGUCCACCCUAAAGGAUGUGUUUGGGCUGCUGCUGCUGGAGGGUCCACAAGCUAGUGUCUGAAUUUGAGUCACAACCCGUUGCAAAUGCUGGCGUUGUUGUCGUGGAAUAAUUAAAGCAAAUUUGCACUUCAGACAGUCGCCCGUGGAAAAACAAGGCAAACAUCUCAGCUCUCAGCACUGGCGACCCACAACAAGAGCGGUGCCGAAUCACCAAACCCAGGUACAAUCGAGGAUACCGCCUCCUUAAGGAGCGACAAAACCCCAAAGGAAUUUCACGGAUAACAAUCCGACUGCAGCAUACCCCGUAAUAAAUUAAACCAAAAAGUAUGGCAUUCCUUGCAAGCUGCAACUUUAAGCUACGUAAUAAACAUGUCUUAUCUUUAAUAUUAAGUUUUUAAUGCUAAUCUAGACAAAGACCUCUGCCAUCGCAUGCUUGUUACCUGCUUGCCAGCUUAUCUGAUAUACCCCUUUCAAAUAGAAAUUCCGCUUAUAACAACAACAACACCGUCAGCUGCCAGUGCCAACAUCAACAAAAAGGGGUGCUCCAAAGUGUUUCGAGGACUCGUACCUCCUACGACGACAAUUGCAACAACAGCAAUGCAGAACAAAACGCCAGUCAGCCGGGAAAGUACGCAAAAAAAUGUCUUUAUGUACGAAAGGCAAGAGCCAACAACACAAAAAACAAUGCCAGUGAGUGGCACAGAGCGCUGGAACAGGAGCGGUUCAUCUGGAGGAGAAGCUAUGGCAAACAUAUUUCGUGAUCCUGUACUCCUCCUUUGCCGCUCCUGUGGCAAAGAGAACGAAGCGGAAAGGAGGAAACCGAACGGCGACCGCGAUGACGGACUCGUGCGGAUGCUGCUGAUGCCGAUGCUGAUGCCGACGUGGAUGUGGAUCCCGACGAGGAUGAGGAUGACGAUGCUGCUGCUCGGCUCUUCCUGUGGCUUUUCUCACUUGCUGAGCGCAACAAGGACCAAAAAAUGCCAGCACGGCAACAACAAUGGCCAACAACAAUAAUAAUAGCGAAUGGCAACAAUAAACUGGGCUUGCGCCAAAAACGAAAUGCGAAAAUUUUGUGGGAAGAGCGAGCGAGAGUCGUCUUCUCACGACGGCAGGACGGUAACAACAACAGAAACAACAAAGGAGUAACGAGAUGGGAAAACAAAAUCACACAUACACACACGAAGAGCGACUCUCACAAAAAGCUGCUCAAAGUCAGUGUUUCGGGUGUGUGUGCGUGCAUGUUAGUGGGAGAGAUUCACCCGAAAAAAGUUUUCAACUUGAAAUUGAACUGUGUGUGCCAUAGUUGAAGGUAGAAGAAGCAGCAUCAGACAAAUUGGAGAGCGCCAGUUGUUGUUGCUUCAGAUGCUGAUGC
rnacentral:sRNA from 1 species